GGAACAGGAUGGGUCAACAACAAUGCUGUAACAGGGAACUGAAGACAGCUGAGCUCAAAUCCUUCAGUGGGUGAGGCAUGACCUGAGGUAUUUUGGUACUGUGCUAGAAUUCUCCAGGCAAGACGUGGAACACACACAGCCCUAUCACAAAGCAACCUGAAGAUAAUCAAAUGAAAUCUCAACACAUCAAAAGCAAACCAAGCCAACUCUCAGGAACAGGAAAGAGCUACACAAUUAUGCAACCUGUUUCUCGAGAACACUUUUUUGGGCAGCAUGCCCACCUUUCUUGUGUAGUGGGGGAUACAAAGGCAUAGCCCUGCCUGCAGAAUGUUAAUACUGCUGAAGGAAACAGAAAAGGAUUGGGAGAGUAAGCUGUGGGGUCAGCCUGCCUGGGUUGGAAUCUGGGUUCCAUUACUAACCAGCUGGUGGUCGGGAGCAAAUCCUUUGACCUCUCCAAGCUCUUUUCUCAUUUGUAAAGUGGGCAGAGACAGCAUAGUCCAUGAACUUCCACACAGUGCCUGGCACAGCACAAACCCUCCAGCAAUAGCGGUUACAGUCACUGAUCACGCUAACACGGCACUGGGCCUCAGUAGUUCUAGAGAACAUAAAGGAUGUCUUGUGGGCCGGAGCAGCAAAGGACAUCAUUUAGAUAAGGAGACGGGGAGUGGGAGGAGAGAGGGGCAGUGAACCUGGCCUAAGUGAAAAUGUGGGGAGACAGAUGAGGUAGGAUCAAUGUAUGGUGUGUGGACUGGAAUGGUAUUUAACCUGGGAAAUGCCAGGGAGGCAUUCCAGUCUGUCAGCUUUAUGUGUUAAGCUAAAGAAUCUAGAUUUUUCUAUGGGAAGCAAUGAGGAGCUAGUAAAAUAAGAAAGUAACAUUAAACUGUAAUGAUGAUUUUCUCUCAUUUGUCUAAAUUUAACUGGAAAAGUAGACUAGUGAUUUCCAAAGUUUAAUCUGAAUAUUAAUCAUGAAGGGAUCAUAUUAAAGUAAAUACAAGUGACUCAGUGGGCUGAGAUUAGCAUUGCCAAUGAGUCCCUGAGCUGAUACCUGUCUCUAGAGCUCACUGUAAAGUAUAUUUAUUCAAGGUACUUUGGUUAAAGAGAAUGGCUGGGUAAGAGAGAGGUAGACAAGAUGUCAGAACUUAAGGGUGCAAACACAUAGGCUUCUAUGUUAUAGAUAAAAACAAAACAACAAAAACCAAAAAAAACAAAAAACCACGUAGUCCUAGAAAUCUUCAAUCUGAUUUAGGAUAACAAUUUUGAGAUGCUUCUUAAUUAUGAACUUAUUUUUCCAUAACAUUUAAACAAUUUUGAGGCAGAAGGAGAAGGGCCUUGACUUCAAGGCCAGCUUGGGCUACUUAGCAUAUGGCAGGCCACUUUGGGCAGCAGAAGAAAACUCUAUUUUGAAAAAAAAAGAAGCAAAAUAAUUUUAAGUAUCUCAUAAAGUAUAAAGUUCCUUUAGCAAAUGCACACUUUAUUUGAUAAAUCUAACACACUAUGUGAUUAAAAUUCCAACCCCAAAGUUCCAUGAAUGGAAAAAACCUAAAAAAUUGAUUCCUUUUGCUGUAAAGAAAAGCUGCAUGAAUACGUUCAUGAUGUGUGGCUAUUAAUAACACCAAGGAUGACUGAAUGGGUUAGCAACAUUUGGUCACAGAAAGAAACCAUGGUUGCGGUCUCUUAUGUGACAGUUGAAUUAAAAGAAAAAUGUUCCUUGUGCUUGUACCACAGAGUCCAGAUAUUCAGCCACAUAUGUAGAUGAGGAGCUGGAGACAGUGGCCAUGACACUUGCUGCAGUGACAUCUCAAAACUGAACCUAGGACUGGACAGCUGUCACACCACACAAUGUCAUCUUGAGAACAGUCUUUUUUCCAUUGACAGAGCACAUCUGUAUUCAUACUUUGGAGGCUUAUGAAUAUCUGUGUUACCCAGAGAACAUAAAUGUCUGCUACACCAGGCUCCAUGAUAAAUGACCCCACCACGUAGACGGAGAAGCAGCAUGGCAGGACCCCUUACAGCGGAAAUGAAGAGAGUCCAACUGGAAAGGCUGGGUGAUGUGAGGGGAAGCAGGCCAGAGGUAGAGCUUGGACUAGAACUCAAGUCUUCUGACUCCUAGCUACUAGGAGCCUGACUCAAUUCCAUGACCCUGCAUGGCAUCAGGGUCCCACUUGCAGAGUAAAGCAAGCAUGCUCAUGACAGCAAAGUGACAAAGCACCCGUUCUCUGCAGAAGGAGUUCAUUUCAAACGUAACCAAUUGCAGUAAAAACUGAGCAGUGAGUUGUGUGGAGCAUGGCGAUAAAUAUUCGACCAUAUCUGUUCACGCUAAGCACACAUUCUAAUGCUAGAAAGAAUGUGUGCAUACAACUAACUGGGUAAAAGCACAAAGAUGGAGAUGUUCAGUGGAGGAUUAGUAGUUUAAAGCAGAAUGUUGAGACAAUUUCCUUGGUAGGGGAUGGGAAUCAUCUGGGCAGAGUAGAGGGUAAAACCAGCUUUCAAGACAGGAAGCGCCUUACUCACUGGGCCUUAAAGGAUGAGAAGAGUUUGUAUCAGGGUGGUUUUUAGUAUGAAGAAAAAAUACAGAAUCUGGGGCUCCUAAAUGUGAAAGAGAUUGAGCUCUCACUCCCACCAAAUCAUAUAUCUUUGAUGAUAGGAAGUGAGUUAGGGGAAGUAAAGAAAUCAAAUAAGAGACUCUAUUACAAGCCUGUGUGAUGGGGCCAUCGCUCUUCUCUGCCCACUUACUCAGCCAGUUCCUGCACUUUAUUUAAUUCCUGUGUCACUAGUUCUAAACUUCAUACUGGCAAAAUGACUGUUCCUCGAGUAGAAGGAAAUGAUUUAUGGCAGCAGGGCCUCACCUGGCAAUAAAAAUGACUAGCAUAGAACUA